rnacentral:rRNA from 1 species
UUAGAGUUUGAUCCUGGCUCAGAUUGAACGCUGGCGGCAGGCUUAACACAUGCAAGUCGAGCGGUAGCACAAGGGAGCUUGCUCCCUGGGUGACGAGCGGCGGACGGGUGAGUAAUGUCUGGGAAACUGCCUGAUGGAGGGGGAUAACUACUGGAAACGGUAGCUAAUACCGCAUAACGUCGCAAGACCAAAGAGGGGGACCUUCAGGCCUCUUGCCAUCAGAUGUGCCCAGAUGGGAUUAGCUAGUAGGUGGGGUAAUGGCUCACCUAGGCGACGAUCCCUAGCUGGUCUGAGAGGAUGACCAGCCACACUGGAACUGAGACACGGUCCAGGCUCCUACGGGAGGCAGCAGUGGGGAAUAUUGCACAAUGGGCGCAAGCCUGAUGCAGCCAUGCCGCGUGUGUGAAGAAGGCCUUCGGGUUGUAAAGCACUUUCAGCGAGGAGGAAGGUGGUGAACUUAAUACGUUCAUCAAUUGACGUUACUCGCAGAAGAAGCACCGGCUAACUCCGUGCCAGCAGCCGCGGUAAUACGGAGGGUGCAAGCGUUAAUCGGAAUUACUGGGCGUAAAGCGCACGCAGGCGGUUUGUUAAGUCAGAUGUGAAAUCCCCGGGCUCAACCUGGGAACUGCAUUUGAAACUGGCAAGCUAGAGUCUCGUAGAGGGGGGUAGAAUUCCAGGUGUAGCGGUGAAAUGCGUAGAGAUCUGGAGGAAUACCGGUGGCGAAGGCGGCCCCCUGGACGAAGACUGACGCUCAGGUGCNGAAGCGUNGGGAGCAAACAGGAUUAGAUACCCUGGUAGUCCA